GUGCUCCCUUCGGCAGCACAUAUACUAAAAUUGGAACGAUACAGAGAUUAGCAUGGCCCCUGUGCAAGGAUGACACGCAAAUUCGUGAAGUGUUCCAUAUUUAA
ensembl:snRNA U6 U6 spliceosomal RNA